rnacentral:misc_RNA from 1 species
AUAAAAUAUGGCCCACGCAGCCAGACAGUUAAACCUGUCUGUUACUGCGUGGGUUGUAUAUCAACCACCUGUUUACCUUUACCUGUUGCUUCCGUGGAAUUACGGGUGCCCUUCCUGUUCGCAGGCUUGGGUUACCUUCCACGGGUGAAUUUUUAAAAUCGUUUUUGUAUGUAUUGUCUGAUAUAAAUUUUUAAUAAAAGUUA